CCGGUGCCCCUGAGGUCCCGUCCCAUCCGGUGCGGCGGGCAGGAUGCACCAGAAGCUGCUGCGGAGCGCGCACUACAUCGAGCUGGGGAGCUACCAGUAUUGGCCGGUGCUGGUGCCCCGUGGCAUACGCCUCUACACCUACGAGCAGAUCCCCGUCUUCCUGAAGGACAACCCCUACAUCACCGACGGCUACCGGGCCUACCUACCCUCCCGCCUCUGCCUCAAGAGUCUCUUCAUCCUCUCCAACGAGACCGUCAACAUCUGGAGCCACCUGCUCGGCUUUGUCCUUUUCUUCACGCUGGGAAUCUACGACCUCACGGCUGUGCUGCCGGCCGCUGGAGCCUCCCGGGAGGAUUUCGUCAUCUGCUCUGUCUGCCUCUUCUGCUUCCAGGUGUGCAUGCUCUGCUCAGUAGGAUAUCAUCUUUUCUGUUGUCACCGCUCAGAGAAGACCAGCCGGCGAUGGAUGGCAUUAGAUUAUGCAGGAAUUUCCGUCGGGAUCCUGGGCUGUUAUGUAUCAGGCGUCUUUUAUGCAUUUUACUGUAGUAAUUACUGGCGUCAGGUAUAUUUAAUCACUGUGCUGGCAAUGGUCUUGGCAGUGUUUUUUGCUCAGAUUCAUCCCAGUUACCUCACACAACAGUGGCACAGACUUCGCUCCAUCAUCUUCUGCUCUGUGUCUGGAUAUGGAAUCAUUCCCACCAUCCACUGGGUUUGGCUCAACGGCGGCAUUGGUGCAUCUGUUGUACAGGAGUUUGCUCCGCGUGUAGUUGUCAUGUACUUCAUCGCUGCUGUAGCUUUUCUCUUCUAUAUUUCCAAAGUUCCAGAAAGAUACUUCCCAGGCCAGCUGAACUACCUCGGCUCAAGUCACCAAGUGUGGCAUAUCCUUGCGGUGGUGAUGCUGUACUGGUGGCAUCAGUCCACAGUGUACAUCAUGCAAUACCGACACAGCCAGCCCUGUCCUGAGUAUAGCCCAGGCUUGUGAGUGAAGAUGAAAUUUCUGACUUUGAGGUCUGCACCUUACCUGCUGAGCUGUUACGAGGUGAAGCACUGAGGCAGUUCCUUUUCUGACUUCUGGACUGCUGCCUGGUUGCUGUUGGGUUAUGGUGACGCUUGAAAAAACGAACAGCGUGGCCUGGGAUCUGAGCUGCAUUUCCUUCCUGUUCUGCAUUCCAGUAUAAAAUAGGUCUUCCUGGAGUGUGACAAUGGAAAGAUGGGCUCCAAGCAAGUUCUAAGUGCACUAAUUACUACUGCUGAAGCCUGAGGAGGAACCGGCAAGUAGAAAAACCAAUUUCCAAUGUCAUGUGAAAAAAAAAUAAAUUUUAAGAACGUGUUUGUGUAUUGAGAGCAUACUGACUUGAUAGUUCUAAGGUAUUUUUAUGUCAACUCUUACCUACUGUAGCAGUUUUCACUGGAUCAGGAAACUGACUGCCAAGAUAUACAUUUUUAUUACCCUGAACUUUAUCAAGUUGCAUGAUGGUCUUCUAUGUAUGUACUGAACCUGUAAAUAAAUUCCACUUCAUUGGCCA